GUCUCCGUGGUGCAAUCGGUCAGAGCGUUCGGCUGUUAACCGAAUGGUUGGUGGUUCAAGCCCACUUGGGGACG
rnacentral:tRNA from 1 species